rnacentral:rRNA from 1 species
GGGCCCGCACAAGCGGAGGAACAUGUGGUUUAAUUCGAUGAUACGCGAGGAACCUUACCCGGGUUUGAACGCAGCGGGACGUACCCUGAAAGGGGUAUUCUAGCAAUAGUCCGUUGCGAGGUGCUGCAUGGUUGUCGUCAGCUCGUGCCGUGAGGUGUCGGCUUAAGUGCCAUAACGAGCGCAACCCUUAUCGUCAGUUACUAACAGGCAAAGCUGAGGACUCCGGCGAGACUGCCAGCGUAAGCUGUGAGGAAGGUGGGGAUGACGUCAAAUCAGCACGGCCCUUACAUCCGGGGCGACACACGUGUUACAAUGGUGGGGACAGAGGGAAGCCACUCGGCGACGAGGCGCGGAUCCCAAAACCCCAUCUCAGUUCGGAUCGGAGUCUGCAACUCGACUCCGUGAAGCUGGAUUCGCUAGUAAUCGCGCAUCAGCCAUGGCGCGGUGAAUACGUUCCCGGGCCUU